rnacentral:rRNA from 1 species
GACGAACGCUGGCGGCGUGCUUAACACAUGCAAGUCGAGCGGUAAGGCCCUUUCGGGGGUACACGAGCGGCGAACGGGUGAGUAACACGUGGGUGACCUGCCCUCAGCUCUGGGAUAAGCCUGGGAAACUGGGUCUAAUACUGGAUAUGACUCCACGGUGCAUGUCGUGGGGUGGAAAGCCUUGUGCGGCUGAGGAUGGGCCCGCGGCCUAUCAGCUUGUUGGUGGGGUGANGGCCUACCAAGGCGACGACGGGUAGCCGGCCUGAGAGGGCGACCGGCCACACUGGGACCGAGACACGGCCCAGACUCCUACGGGAGGCAGCAGUGGGGAAUCUUGCGCAAUGGGCGAAAGCCUGACGCAGCGACGCCGCGUGAGGGAUGAC